UGCUACAGAAUGCUUGAUAAUGUGUCUAUAGUCUCAUGAUGUAAUUAUUGUUUAAUUGUUCAUAUUUUUAUUUAUGAAGUAGAUACAUCGACAAGCCAUUUGGUUGAGGUUUGGAGUAUAUGGUAUAAGCUUGAUGGUCCCUACUCCAUAAUGCAACUUCGGGAUAAAAAUUGAAAAGGGGCACUUCUAGGGCAUUCCUUUUCCAUCGUGUAGUGAAGCAUUACGUAAUUCAAGCUGGGGAUGGUGGUCUUCUUGGGGAUACAGAAGUCUGGACUUUGAGAGGGAAGCAUUAUAGUCAACUUGAUACGUGAUUACUAGCUUGAAUUUUAUUUUCUUUCGUUUUUCUUCAUUCAAUGGCUCAACAGCAUGUUUCCCGAAACUUUUGAGGUGGCAAGUGUAUUUGUUAUUCUUUGAUCAGUUUGAAACAUGAGGCAUUCAUGUUUGGAGCUUCCAAGACAAAGCAUGAUGACCGAGGAGAAGAUGUUGUUCAGGAAAUUGAAGAGAACAUAUCUAGAUCUCAUGCUGGGAUCAUUGAUGUGACUUGGAGGCAGAAAAUCUAAAAGCUGUUGUGCUAAUCCGAAGCUUUUCCAUGCUGCCUUAUUCCGGAUUGUCUUUUACCACUCAAACUAGCCACAGGGACAGUGGUGCAUUUUGGGAUGAGUCAUCCCAUUAGAGGGCACAACGAUGAUAUGGAGACCUGCUGAGAAUCAAGCUGUUUAAAUUUGCGUGAAUACUGAGCCAAUUCUGUUCUGGUGAUUUUAUUUCUCUGGCUGGAUGGUACAAAUUUUACGAUGAAUAAAGGAUGGGACAAUUGAAGACUCUUCUUUU